AGAACGAACGCUGGCGGCAUGCCUAAUACAUGCAAGUCGAACGAACACUUCGGUGUUAGUGGCGCACGGGUGCGUAACGCGUGGGAAUCCGCCCUUGGGUUCGGAAUAACAGUUGGAAACGACUGCUAAUACCGGAUGAUGACGAAAGUCCAAAGAUUUAUCGCCCAGGGAUGAGCCCGCGUAGGAUUAGCUAGUUGGUGAGGUAAGGCUCACCAGGCGACGAUCCUUAGCUGGUCUGGAGAGGAUGAUCAGCCACACUGGGACUGGACGACGACCGGCCCAGACCUCCGUACGGGAGCAGCAGGUAGGGAAUAUGGACAAGUGGGCGCAAGCCUGAUCCAGCAAUCGCCGCGUGAGUGA
rnacentral:rRNA from 1 species